UUUAUUUUUGUUAUCAAUAGGUCGCGCAACUUGUAUCACAGAAAUUAAGUGACGCAAUCAAGGCGGAAGUCAGAAAAAAAGUAACUAAGGGCCCAGACGACGGUCCAGACGCAGACGAUGCCGAGGGUGUCAGCGGUGACGACGAAGUGGCGGAUCAGGGUGUUGAUGGUGACAAGUCAACAUUAAACGGCGAUGCUGGUUCAGGAGCAAUGACAAUGGCGAAUGGAUAUGGAAAUGGAAAGGGGUCCAAAAAGAUGCUGUGCAUCUACGCCCCCGACAAUCUACGGUACUGCGUUAGUCAGCUAAAGGAGCUUUGAAUAUUGAGAAAUGCCUGAUGACAUCAGCUACAUGUCGACCAAUUUUAAAAUGACUUAAUAAAUUUUUUCGUGCUCA